GACAUGCUCUGCCUUGGAUCCUCACCACAAUCCUGUAACACAGCCGUUAUUAUUAUCCUUGUUUUUCAGAUGAGGAAACUGAGUCGGAGAAAGGCUAAGACGUUUGUCUGGGGUCUCACAAUGAGAAAAUCGAGAUUCUGAGAGGUUAGAGGAAUGGCCCAAAGUCACACAGCUGGCAAGUGUCUGAGGAUAAAGCAAACCCCAAUUUUACCACAAUGGAGUUUUGUCCUUGAGUACUACUACAUGAAUGGAGGCGGGAUGAUGGAUCAAAGUGAGCCCAACAGAGGAAAGCCUCUCUCCAAUUCAUUUCCCUGAGCACCCCAAAUAUUAAGAGCAGUGCCUGGACCAGGCAUCCAGGAUAAGGAAUAAACCAAGAGUAGAUUUUCCUUCUACA
rnacentral:lncRNA from 1 species